AUUGAACGCUGGCGGCUUGCUUUACACAUGCAAGUCGAACGGUAACAGCACUACGGUGGCUGACGAGUGGCGAACGGGUGAGUAAUACAUCGGAACGUGCCUAGUAGUGGGGGAUAACUACUCGAAAGAGUAGCUAAUACCGCAUGAGAUCUAAGGAUGAAAGCAGGGGACCUUCGGGCCUUGCGCUACUAGAGCGGCUGCUGGCAGAUUAGGUAGUUGGUGGGAUAAAAGCUUACCAAGCCGACGAUCUGUAGCUGGUCUGAGAGGACGACCAGCCACACUGGGACUGAGACACGGCCCAGACUCCUACGGGAGGCAGCAGUGGGGAAUUUUGGACAAUGGGCGCAAGCCUGAUCCAGCAAUGCCGCGUGCAGGAUGAAGGCCUUCGGGUUGUAAACUGCUUUUGUACGGAACGAAAAGCCCUCUUCUAAUACAGGAGGGUCAUGACGGUACCGUAAGAAUAAGCACCGGCUAACUACGUG
rnacentral:rRNA from 1 species